GGGACAUUAGCUCAGUUGGUUAGAGCCCCCGGCUCAUAACCGGGUGGUCGCUGGUUCAAGUCCAGCAUGUCCCACCA
rnacentral:tRNA from 2 species